rnacentral:rRNA from 1 species
CAGCAGCCGCGGUAAAACGUAGGUGGCAAGCGUUGUCCGGAAUUAUUGGGCGUAAAGGGCUCGCAGGCGGUUUCUUAAGUCUGAUGUGAAAGCCCCCGGCUCAACCGGGGAGGGUCAUUGGAAACUGGGAAACUUGAGUGCAGAAGAGGAGAGUGGAAUUCCACGCGUAGCGGUGAAAUGCGUAGAGAUGUGGAGGAACACCAGUGGCGAAGGCGACUCUCUGGUCUGUAACUGACGCUGAGGAGCGAAAGCGUGGGGAGCGAACAGGAUUAGAUACCCGCGUAGUCCCUGUCUCUUAUAC